GGGGAAUAUUGCACAAUGGGCGCAAGCCUGAUGCAGCGACGCCGCGUGAGCGAAGAAGGUUUUCGGAUCGUAAAGCUCUGUCCUCUGGGAAGAAAAAAUGACGGUACCAGAGGAGGAAGCCCCGGCUAACUACGUGCCAGCAGCCGCGGUAAUACGUAGGGCGCAAGCGUUGUCCGGAAUUAUUGGGCGUAAAGAGCUCGUAGGCGGUUAGUCGCGUCUGCUGUGAAAACUCGAGGCUCAACCUCGGGCUUGCAGUGGGUACGGGCUGACUAGAGUGCGGUAGGGGUGACUGGAAUUCCUGGUGUAGCGGUGGAAUGCGCAGAUAUCAGGAGGAACACCGAUGGCGAAGGCAGGUCACUGGGCCGCAACUGACGCUGAGGAGCGAAAGCAUGGGGAGCGAACA
rnacentral:rRNA from 1 species